rnacentral:rRNA from 1 species
GGCGGCACGCCUAACACAUGCAAGUCGAGCGAGGUAGCAAUACCUAGCGGCAGACGGGUGCGUAACAUGUGGGAAUCUGCCUUUUGGUUCGGAACAACACGGGGAAACCUGUGCUAAUACCGGAUAAGCCCUUACGGGGAAAGUUUUAAUGCCAAAAGAUGAGCCCGCAUUUGAUUAGCUAGUUGGUAAGGUAAAAGCUUACCAAGGCGAUAAUCAAUAGCUGAUUUGAGAGGAUGGACAGCCACAUUGGGACUGAGACACGGCCCAGACUCC